AUGGUUAAGUCCUCGAUCUAUUAGUAUUCGUCAGCUCCACAUGUCACCAUGCUUCCACCUCGAACCUAUCAACCUGAUCAUCUUUCAGGGAUCUUACUAGCUUACGCUAUGGGAAAUCUCAUCUUGAGGGGGGCUUCAUGCUUAGAUGCUUUCAGCACUUAUCCCUUCCGCACAUAGCUACCCAGCUAUGCCCUUGGCAGAACAACUGGUACACCAGCGGUGCGUCCAUCCCGGUCCUCUCGUACUAAGGACAGCUCCUCUCAAAUUUCCUACGCCCACGACGGAUAGGGACCGAACUGUCUCACGACGUUCUGAACCCAGCUCGCGUACCGCUUUAAUGGGCGAACAGCCCAACCCUUGGGACCGACUACAGCCCCAGGAUGCGAUGAGCCGACAUCGAGGUGCCAAACCUCCCCGUCGAUGUGGACUCUUGGGGGAGAUAAGCCUGUUAUCCCCGGGGUAGCUUUUAUCCGUUGAGCGAUGGCCCUUCCAUGCGGAACCACCGGAUCACUAAGCCCGACUUUCGUCCCUGCUCGACUUGUAGGUCUCGCAGUCAAGCUCCCUUAUGCCUUUGCACUCUACGAAUGAUUUCCAACCAUUCUGAGGGAACCUUUGGGCGCCUCCGUUACACUUUAGGAGGCGACCGCCCCAGUCAAACUGCCCACCUGACACUGUCUCCCGGGUCGAUAAGACCCGUAGGUUAGAAUUUCAAUACAGUCAGGGCGGUAUCCCACCAGCGCCUCCACCGAAGCUAGCGCUCCGGUUUCAAAGGCUCCCGCCUAUCCUGUACAAACUGUACCAAAAUUCAAUAUCAGGCUACAGUAAAGCUCCACGGGGUCUUUCCGUCCUGUCGCGGGUAACCUGCAUCUUCACAGGUACUAUAAUUUCACCGAGUCUCUGGUUGAGACAGUGCCCAAAUCGUUACACCUUUCGUGCGGGUCGGAACUUACCCGACAAGGAAUUUCGCUACCUUAGGACCGUUAUAGUUACGGCCGCCGUUUACUGGGGCUUCAGUUCAGAGCUUCGCUUACGCUAACCCCUCUCCUUAACCUUCCAGCACCGGGCAGGUGUCACCCCCUAUACUUCGCCUUACGGCUUCGCAGAGAGCUGUGUUUUUGCUAAACAGUCGCUUGGGCCUAUUCACUGCGGCUUUCCGUUAAGAAAGCACCCCUUCUCCCGAAGUUACGGGGUCAUUUUGCCGAGUUCCUUAACCAGAGUUCUCUCGCACACCUUAGGAUUCUCUCCUCGCCUACCUGUGUCGGUUUGCGGUACAGGCACCUUUUAUCUCGCUAGAAGCUUUUCUUGGCAGCGGGGAAUCAAAGACUUCGCUCCAUAAGGAGCUUCCCCAUCACAGCUCAGCCUUUACGAUAAGCGGAUUUGCCUACUUAUCAGCCUAACUGCUUGGACGUGCACAACCAAUCGCACGCUUCUUCUAUCCUUCUGCGUCCCUCCAUUGCUCAAACGAUAAAGAGGUGGUACAGGAAUAUCAACCUGUUGUCCAUCGCCUACGCCUGUCGGCCUCGGCUUAGGUCCUGACUAACCCUGAGCGGACGAGCCUUCCUCAGGAAACCUUAGGCAUUCGGUGGACGGGAUUCUCACCCGUCUUUCGCUACUCAUACCGGCAUUCUCACUUCUAAGCACUCCACCAGUCCUUCCGGUCUGACUUCACUGUCCUUAGAACGCUCCCCUACCACUGAUACCAUUCGGUAUCAAUCCGCAGCUUCGGUGGUGUAUUUAGCCCCGGUACAUUUUCGGCGCAGAGUCACUCGACUAGUGAGCUAUUACGCACUCUUUAAAUGGUGGCUGCUUCUAAGCCAACAUCCUAGUUGUCUAAGCAACUCCACAUCCUUUUCCACUUAAUACACACUUUGGGACCUUAGCUGGCGGUCUGGGCUGUUUCCCUUUUGACUACGGAUCUUAUCACUCGCAGUCUGACUCCUAAGGAUAAGUCAUUGGCAUUCGGAGUUUGACUGAAUUCGGUAAUCCGAUGAGGACCCCUAGUCCAAUCAGUGCUCUACCUCCAAGACUCUUACACUUAAGGCUAGCCCUAAAGCUAUUUCGGGGAGAACCAGCUAUCUCCAGGUUCGAUUGGAAUUUCUCCGCUACCCACACCUCAUCCCCGCACUUUUCAACGUGCGUGGGUUCGGGCCUCCAUUCAGUGUUACCUGAACUUCACCCUGGACAUGGGUAGAUCACCUGGUUUCGGGUCUACGACCACGUACUAAACGCCCUAUUCAGACUCGCUUUCGCUGCGGCUCCGCCUCUUCAGCUUAACCUCGCACGGGAUCGUAACUCGCCGGUUCAUUCUACAAAAGGCACGCCAUCACCCGUUAACGGGCUCUGACUAUUUGUAGGCACACGGUUUCAGGAUCUCUUUCACUCCCCUUCCGGGGUGCUUUUCACCUUUCCCUCACGGUACUGGUUCACUAUCGAUCACUAGGGAGUAUUUAGCCUUGGGAGAUGGUCCUCCCAGAUUCCGACGGAAUUUCACGUGUUCCGCCGUACUCAGGAUACAUUCAAGAGAGAACGAAGUUUCGACUACGGGGUUGUUACCCUCUACGACGGACCUUUCCAGGUCGCUUCGUCUACCUCGUUCCUUUGUAACUCCGUAUAGAAUGUCCUACAACCCCAAGAGGCAAGCCUCUUGGUUUGGGCUAUGUUCCGUUUCGCUCGCCGCUACUCAGGAAAUCGCAUUUGCUUUCUCUUCCUCCAGGUACUUAGAUGUUUCAGUUCCCUGGGUCUGUCUUCCUUACCCUAUGUAUUCAGAUAAGGAUACCAUACCAUUACGUAUGGUGGGUUUCCCCAUUCGGAAAUCUUCGGAUCAAAGCUUACUUACAGCUCCCCGAAGCAUAUCGGCGUUAGUCCCGUCCUUCAUCGACUCCUAGUGUCAAGGCAUCCACCGUGCGCCCUUUCUAACUUAA
rnacentral:rRNA from 1 species